rnacentral:rRNA from 1 species
CCUACGGGACGCAGCAGUGAGGAAUAUUGGUCAAUGGACGGAAGUCUGAACCAGCCAUGCCGCGUGCAGGAAGACGGCUCUAUGAGUUGUAAACUGCUUUUGUACAAGGGUAAACCUGAAUACGUGUAUUCAGCUGAAAGUACUGUACGAAUAAGGAUCGGCUAACUCCGUGCCAGCAGCCGCGGUAAUACGGGGGAUCCAAGCGUUAUCCGGAUUUAUUGGGUUUAAAGGGUGCGUAGGCGGAUUGAUAAGUUAGAGGUGAAAUGUCCGAGCUUAACUCGGGAACUGCCUCUAAUACUGUUGAUCUAGAGAGUAGAUGCGGUAGGCGGAAUGUAUGGUGUAGCUGUGAAAUGCUUAGAGAUCAUACAGAACACCGAUUGCGAAGGCAGCUUACCAAUCAAUAUCUGACGUUGAGGCACGAAAGCGUGGGGAGCAAACAGGAUUAGAUACUCGUGUAGUC